CUCAAGUCCCUUACUGCCCCACUCCAAUCGCCUUCUCAGUCUGACCCAAAUCUUCAUGCAACUAAUCCUUUAGAUUUUCCCUCAGAAUAAGUCCACCACCGCCACAGUGCCUGUCUACCUGCUAGCGAGAGGGAGAAGCUUUCAUUAAAAGCAAGAAAUCAAGGGACCACACGGUAUCCCUUUUACAUAUUCCUCCUGCCUUAGCUCCUCUCCCAAACCAGACUUGUAGAGACCAAAGGUAGAAGGACAGUUGGUGUCACCUCCCCAGAGCUGGAGAAGAAAAAGAGAACUGGGGGUAGGAAAGGAGGUGAGGAAAUAGUUAAAGCAAGUUUUUACCUUAAAGAAGUAGGUGCUGGUCCAGGACUGAGAAGGAGGGUUCAGCUCUGGCAAUUCGAUGGGGUAGGUGGGUACAAGGAGGGGUGCCGCCACAGUCCCAGCUGCCUUCCAGCUGUCAACGCCAGAGCUUACACACGUUUAUACGGGUUUAUGAGCGGUAGUCCUGACUGGGUCUUGGCCACUUCCGGACUCACGCCCACAACCAACCAGGGACACCAAGGGGGAGGUAGGGGCUCAGCCCAAGUGCUCCCCAGUGGCUCAGAGUGUCUUCAGGAUUCCUGAGUCGCUGAGUGUAGGGCAUGCGCUCCAGGCCCAGACUGCAAGCUGGUUUUCAAAGGAAGUUUGUGGUUUUUCUUUUUUCUUCUUUCUCUCUCUCUUUUUUUCCCAUCGAGACAAAGAAAAAUUAGUCAAGGACAAGCUCCCUGGAGGAGGAGGGGCCUGCCCAGCACUGGAGGAUUUCCAUCGGGGCUUUCUGACCUGGUCAGCAGCUUGGUGAUCAGCAGUGAGGGAGAGAGAAACAAGGAGAGAAAAACAACAGACCCUUUCUCUUCCCUCCGCCUGCCGCUGGAAGGGACGGAGCGCUUGUGCCUCUCUGUCUAGAAAUGAAACUUGUUGGGCUGUGCUCCCGGCAGUGCAGAAGAUGUGGAAGAAACCCCAGGCCCUGGGAAGAGAGUGCAGCAGGGAGAGAACCAGCUGAGCCAGCAGGAGAUC
rnacentral:lncRNA from 1 species